GCACAAGCGGUGGAUGAUGUGGAUUAAUUCGAUGCAACGCGAAAACCUUACCUACCCUUGACAUGGCAGGAAUCCCGAAGAGAUUUGGGAGUGCUCGAAAGAGAACCUGCACACAGGUGCUGCAUGGCUGUCGUCAGCUCGUGUCGUGAGAUGUUGGGUUAAGUCCCGCAACGAGCGCAACCCUUGCCAUUAGUUGCUACGAAAGGGCACUCUAAUGGGACUGCCGGUGACAAACCGGAGGAAGGUGGGGAUGACGUCAAGUCCUCAUGGCCCUUAUAGGUGGGGCUACACACGUCAUACAAUGGCCGGUACAGAGGGUAGCCAACCCGCGAGGGGGAGCCAAUCCCACAAAGCCGGUCGUAGUCCGGAUCGCAGUCUGCAACUCGACUGCGUGAAGUCGGAAUCGCUAGUAAUCGCGGAUCAGCAUGUCGCGGUGAAUACGUUCCCGGGUCUU
rnacentral:rRNA from 1 species